AUUGAACGCUGGCGGCAGGCCUAACACAUGCAAGUCGAGCGGAGAGGCGGAGGGGUGAGUAAUGGUUAGGUAUCUGCCUGGUAGUGGGGGAUAAGGUCAGGAACUGGGAGCUGUUACUGCAUCCUCUCAGAAGCGCCUGGGUGGGAUUGGGUAGUUGGGGGGGUAAAGGCCUACCAAGGCGACGAUCCGUAACUGGUCUGAGAGGAUGAUCAGCCACACUGGAACUGAGACACGGUCCAGACUCCUACGGGAGGCAGCAGUGGGGAAUAUUGGACAAUGGGCGAAAGCCUGAUCCAGCCAUGCCGCGUGUGUGAAGAAGGUCUUCGGAUUGUAAAGCACUUUAAGUUGGGAGGCGUUACCAACAGAAUAAGCACCGGCUAACUUCGUGCCAGCAGCCGCGGUAAUUC
rnacentral:rRNA from 1 species